rnacentral:tRNA from 1 species
GGAUGGAUGUCUGAGCGGUUGAAGGAGUCGGUCUUGAGAACCGAAGUAUUUAUAGAAAUACUAGGGGUUCGAAUCUCUCUCCAUCCG